rnacentral:misc_RNA from 1 species
UUUCCGUAGGUGAACCUGCGGAAGGAUCAUUACUGAGUGAGGGCCCUCUGGGUCCAACCUCCCACCCGUAUUUAUUGUACCUUGUUGCUUCGGUGAGCCCGCCUCACGGCCGCCGGGGGGCAUCUGCCCCCGGGCCCGCGCUCGCCGAAGACACCCUUAAACUCUGUCUGAAGUUUGCAGUCUGAGCGAAAACUAAAUAAGUUAAAACUUUCAACAACGGAUCUCUUGGUUCCG